AGUAAGCAUGGCGGCGGCGGCAUUCGUGGUCCCUCGGGUGAAACAGAAAGCGGGAGCUACGCGGAGAGGCAGCGAAGAGCGGGGCUGAGGCGGCGCCGUCACUGCCAGGAAACAACCCCAACAGCGCGCCGGCGGCCGCGACGGCCCCGAGAGCUGGCUCUGCCGCUGAGACAGAGAAAGAUCAGGAGCCCGAAGAAGUAGGCGCCAGAGGAGCCGCCUUCCCCUGCCUCAGAACGGCGUGACUCGGAGAGUUGGAGGGUUAUCCAGUAUAUUAAUGUCUUAUUGAUAAUGGCAGAACAUCCACCACUACUGGACACAACUCAGAUUUUAAGUAGUGAUAUUUCUCUUCUAUCUGCUCCUAUUGUAAGUGCAGAUGGAACACAACAGGUUAUUCUGGUACAAGUUAACCCAGGAGAAGCAUUUACAAUAAGAAGAGAAGAUGGACAGUUCCAGUGCAUUACAGGUUUUUGUCAUACCUCUUCUCAGUCUUUAGCAUGCCAUCGACACAGU